GAUGAACGCUGGCGGCGUGCUUAACACAUGCAAGUCGAACGAAGCACCUCUCCCGAAGAUUGACACAGCUUGCUGUAGAUUGAUUCAUUUGAGGUGACUGAGUGGCGGACGGGUGAGUAACGCGUGGGUAACCUGCCUCAUAGAGGGGGACAACAGUUGGAAACGACUGCUAAUACCGCAUAGUAAGAAGAUUCGCAUGUUCUUCUUGAAAGAUUUAUCGCUAUGAGAUGGACCCGCGUCUGAUUAGCUAGUUGGUAAGGUAACGGCUUACCAAGGCGACGAUCAGUAGCCGGCUUGAGAGAGUGAACGGCCACAUUGGGACUGAGACACGGCCCAAAACUUCCUACGGGGAGGCAGCAGUGGGGAAUAUUGCACAAUGGGGGAAACCCUGAUGCAGCGACGCCGUCGUGAGUGAAGAAGUAUUUCGGUAUGUAAAGCUCUAUCAGCAGGGAAGAUAAUGACGGUAACCUGACUAAGAAGCCCCGG
rnacentral:rRNA from 1 species